rnacentral:rRNA from 1 species
UACGUAGGGGGCAAGCGUUGUCCGGAAUUAUUGGGCGUAAAGAGCGUGUAGGCGGUCCGGUAAGUCAGCUGUGAAAGUCAAGGGCUCAACCCUUGAAAGCCGGUUGAUACUGUCGGGCUAGAGUCCGGAAGAGGCGAGUGGAAUUCCCGGUGUAGCGGUGAAAUGCGCAGAUAUCGGGAGGAACACCGGUGGCGAAGGCGGCUCACUGGCUCGUAUCUGACGCUCAGGCGCGACAGCGUGGGGAUCAAACAGG